rnacentral:rRNA from 1 species
UACGAAGGGUGCAAGCGUUAAUCGGAAUUACUGGGCGUAAAGCGUGCGUAGGCGGAUUGUUAAGUCAGGGGUGAAAUCCUGGAGCUCAACUCCAGAACUGCCUUUGAUACUGGCGAUCUCGAGUCCGGGAGAGGUGAGUGGAACUGCGAGUGUAGAGGUGAAAAUUCGUAGAUAUUCGCAAGAACACCAGUGGCGAAGGCGGCUCACUGGCCCGGUACUGACGCUGAGGUGCGAAAGCGUGGGGAGCAAACAGG